GAUGAACGCUGGCGGCGUGCCUAACACAUGCAAGUCGAGCGAUUCUCUUCGGAGAAGAGCGGCGGACGGGUGAGUAACGCGUGGGUAACCUGCCCUGUACACACGAAUAACAUACCGAAAGGUAUGCUAAUACGAGAUAAUAUACUUUUAUCGCAUGGUAGAAGUAUCAAAGCUCCGGCGGUACAGGAUGGACCCGCGUCUGAUUAGCUAGUUGGUAAGGUAACGGCUUACCAAGGCGACGAUCAGUAGCCGACCUGAGAGGGUGAUCGGCCACAUUGGAACUGGGACACGGACCAAACUCCUACGGGAGGCAGCAGUGGGGAAUAUUGCACAAUGGGCGAAAGCCUGAUGCAGCAACGCCGCGUGAGCGAUGAAGGCCUUCGGGUCGUAAAGCUCUGUCCUCAAGGAAGAUAAUGACGGUACUUGAGGAGGAAGCCCCGGCUAACUACGUGCCAGCCGCCGCCGUAAAAC
rnacentral:rRNA from 1 species